UUUUAGUUUAUUUUUAACUGCUUCUGCACGUGUGCUUUUAGAUGCGUGUCUGAGCGAGGGACAUGAUAGGGCCCCGUGUGUGAUCGUGUUGAUAUGGACACUCAUCCAGCUCCUCCCGACUCAGCCUCCAUCCACUUCACUGUGAUUAAUUAGGAAAGUGAGUGGAAUUACUUCAUCAGCAACCCAAGGGAGACGAUGAAAAUAUUUACAGAGCUCCCAGGACGGGAUUUCAUUAGGAGGUGCCUGGUGGUGAGUUGCCUCCUCUCUCUUCAUGCCGCCGCAGAGUGGGGAGUACUCUGAAACUUGACCCCUCAUGUCAAGUCACGUGGUGCCCAUUAAAUGCGAUAAUGUCAGUGACUAUGCAGACGUGAGGCCAAAAAUAAGCUGCUCAUUUUCUUACACAGAGAAUCAAAGCACAUAGCCUAAAGUAACGGGAGCUAAACUGCCUCAAAAUUUGCCAGACGUUGUGACAGCGCAGAGCUAAAGCUCAGUCCCACUGAGAGAGCACAAGUGAAGCUAAAGUGGGACAUUAACCAUUCUCGUCUCUCAAGGGUAGAAGCAUCCACCCACGCAGUCCUGGGAAAUUGGACUAUCCAACAAACAGAAGUCUCUGCAAUAACAAACUGUGGUUGUCAACCAUUUCUGCUCUCUGAAAAAUAAGCCACCUGUGAUCCAUUAAGUGAAAAGACGUGAUGUUAACGAUUGCUCGACUCUUUGUGUUCCUGUCUUGUGCAGCGUCAUAGACUGCAGCCAGGUAAUGUAUACAUGACAUUUAAAAGAAUGAAUUGCCAAUUAAUGCAAACACUGGAUUUUAUGAUCUUUACUCUUAUAUUAAAGGUGAAGUAAAACAUAAUAAUUCCAGCUUGUUAAUGAAAUUACAGUGAGACAGCACAACCUUUAAUUGAAUUUUUGUUUUUUUGGUUAUAAACCAUAAUUUUCUAUGUUUAAAAGUAGUGAAUUAUGUUUAUUCUAAUCUUUCAGAGUUUCUAGAGUUAUUAAAACAUCAUUGUCAUUGCUGUUUCCCUCUAUAGUUGUUUUCUCUGCAAGAAAUAUCUUUCUGCAGCUCUGUUUGUAUUUUUACAGCACUAUCAAAAUCCUCUGCCAACAGCAUCAGUCUCCAAACAAAGUUACAGAUCAUCCCGGGAGUAAACUCUGAGAGCCUUCAGCUUUUUUUUUUUUUAUAUUUGUUAGUCAAACAUUUAUUGAACCAGAAAGUCUCAGGUAAUUUGUAGAUUCAUUGAUUUAAUGUUUAACUGUUGUCUUUCAAAAGCUCAUUUUACAAACUCACACUGAAAAAGGCGAUGCCUGAACACACCACAAAACAGCAACUAAAUCAUCAAUUUCUAUCAAAAUAUAUCUUGAUGGAUUCUGCAAUCCUGUUUGAUAUGGAAAACUUUUAAGAUUGUUUUUUUUUUUUUACAUGUGGCGCAUAAGUGUAACAGCUGGUGUACAACUGUGCUGCGUAUUACACACAUUUAAGACCAGCAGCCUGAUGUCUUUCUUUGAGCUGAAAAAAAUGAUUCACAAUGUCAUUUCAAGUGUCUGAUUCAAUUGCCCAGUUUUUGUUUAGAUAUUGUUUAUCAUUUAUGACGUGUGCAUUCACUUGUGCAUUUUGCGCUGGAAAAAGAGAAAUUUAUCCCCAAAGAGCAAUUCCGUUGGCAACAAAUCAGUUGCAGGCAGGCAAAAACAAAACAAAACAGACAUCAUCCUUCAGUGAGUAAUCAGUGGUUGGUCAGUCAGUGCAGCUGGUUGUCCUUAAGAGUGUGCAUGACAUCAAAAUUAAAUUCACUGCAACAUCAGGAAAAUAUUUUGAAAGUGUUGAUUUAUCUCUGGGUAAAAAAACUUCUAAAACCUACAGUGGGGCAAAAAGGUUUUUAGUCUGCCACCAAUUGUGCAAGUUCUCCCACUUAAAACAAUGAAAGAGGCCUGUAAAUUUUCAUCAUAAAUAUAAAAGAAAUCCAGGAAAUUACAUUCUGCUUUUUUAAUAAUUUAUUUGUGAAAUUAAGGUGGAAAAUAAGUAUUUGGUCACCAACAAACAAUCAAGAUUUCUGACUCUCACAGAUCUAUAACGUCCUCUGUUAGAUGAUUGUCUGUCCUCCACCUGUAUUACAUGCACCUGUUUGAAUUUGUUAUCUUUAUAAAAGACAUCUGUCCACAACCUUUAAACAUUCACACUCCAAACUCCACUAUGGUCAAGACCAAAGAGAAGACUGAAUCUGCGAUAGGUAAGCAGCUUGGUGUGAAGAAAUCAACUGUGGGAGCAAUUAUUAGGAAAUGGAAGACAUACAAGAUCACUGAUAAUCUCCAUCCAUCUGGUGCUCCCCUCUAGAUUUCACCCCAUGGGAUAAAAAAUGAUCACAAGAACGGUGAGCAAAACUCCCAGAACCACAUGGAGGACCUAGUGAAUGACCUGCAGAGAGCUGGGACCAAAUUAACAAAGGCUACCAUCAGUAACACCCCCUGCUAAAACCAGUACAUGGGCAGGCCCAUCUAGAGUUUGCUAGAGAGCAUUUGGAUGAUCCAGAAGAGGAUUGGGAGAAUGUCCUAUGGUCAGAUGAAAAAAAUAACUUUAAUUACAAGUUUGUUUAAAUGUCUUUUCAUCAUUCAGACCGAACUUCACAGUCACUCAGUUCGCUGGUGCUAUAUGCUACCUAAUGUAAAUUUCCUGUUCAAGUGGGAAACGUGUUUAUUUGUUGUAGAACUGAGUUGUCAAAGGCUGAGCUGUUUCCUCGAAACGUGUUUGUCACACAUGAAUCUGUUUGUUACAACAGGGAUGAGAACUUGAGAAAAAAAAAGAUAACCAGCACCACUUUUCCCGUAGGACGGGGCUGUUUUUAGUGUCCUAAAGCCCCCAAGGCCACUGAGUCAGCUGAGUCCUCAAUGUUUCCAGUGGGACAUGUGGAGGUGCAGCACACUGCCCAUUUAUACCAAAGUGAAAGAGAUUGACAGAUAAAAAUAAGACCAAGUUGAAUUACUGAUGGUAGUUCUAAUUUUUGGUGGUAUUUUAUUUUUUGACCUUUUUUUCUACUUGCUCCUUUAUAAAAAAAAAAAGAAAAAAAAAAGGCAAAGGGUGAGAACAGCAUCGCUGUUCUUUUCACAUGAUGUUUACACAAGAGGAGGCUGGCAGGGCUCUGGAACAGGUUUCAGUGCUUCUUUUUCCUCGACACCCAUUCUCACAUGCAAACACACAGUUACACACACUUGUGGUUUGUGACAACAUUCAGCCAAGCUCCCAACUUAACAAUAGCAGCAGAGGGCCUCGAUGAUGGAUACACACAAACCCCUGUAUUUUCUUGGGAGACUAAAAAAAAAAUAGCAAGAACAAAUAUGACAAAAUACGUUCACGACGGGUUGAAUAAAUUCAAAGAUUUUCACACAAAAGAAUACUAAGUUGAAUGUAUUUGUUUCAGCUUCCACCAUCUGAGUUUCCUGUCAUAACAUAAUAAAAAAUCACUUUAAUAAACACAAACAAACCUAAGAGCAGCAUAGUCAUGUCUUCUUUUAUCUUCGUCUAUAAGCUUUUUGCUGAACAGAUGGCUACCUCAAGGAAGUAAAAUACAUCUACAUGACAUGUUUUAUUGAAUUGAAAAGUCAUCCAGCUGAUAAACCUCACGGACUGAAAGGAAGUAUAAAUGCAUUUUUAUCCCCUGCAGAUCUAAUUAAGAACUUAAGAAAUUUAUGGGAGAGGUUACAUUGUAAGAGAAGUAGCAAUCCUCCCCCACAAUCCCCUCUGUAUUUUUCCCCAUCCCUCCCAGAGCGUGGAUGUAAAAAGACAACCUUGGGGAGCAGAGACUUAAACAAUGUAGAAAGCCCUCACAGGCCUUCCAACUAACUUCCCUCCAAUCUCUAAGAAACUUCCUGUUUGUGCAGAAAAAGUUGUUGUCUUUUUAAAAAUCUGUCCUUUUGCUCUGAUCCUGAGGAGUGUGGCCACAGCACAAAUUCACAUAUCCAGGGUCAGCCUCUGGGUCUGUGAUUUCCGUGACGCCAAGCAGGAACUGAAAGUUAAGAGCAAAAGGGCAAUUUGGAGCCUUGCAACCCAGGUUUUGCAUCUAAUCCUGCCUUCUUCCAGUACCAA